UACGGAGGGUGCAAGCGUUAUCCGGAUUUACUGGGUUUAAAGGGUGCGUAGGCGGACUGUUAAGUCAGUGGUGAAAGCUCCAUGCCUAACAUGGAAAUUGCCAUUGAUACUGACGGUCUUGAGUACAUUUGAAGUGGGCGGAAUGUGUCAUGUAGCGGUGAAAUGCUUAGAUAUGACACAGAACACCGAUUGCGUAGGCAGCUCACUAAACUGUAACUGACGCUGAGGCACGAAAGCGUGGGGAGCAAACAGG
rnacentral:rRNA from 1 species